GGAUGUUGUACAUGGGUAGAAAGGUGAAAAUUGUGGCCAGAGGCAGAUUGUAGUAAACUAGAAAAUUGGCUCAUAAUCCUUUACUCCUUCUUGCCUCCAUGCUCUUUGUAAUGUGACUUUGCCACUUUUCUCAUUAAGAGAUGGAUUCUCUUCUCCGUUGCCUUCUGUCUGGACUGGUCUUGUAACUUGUUCUGGUUAAUAGAAAGAGGUAAACGUGAUGACACAUCAGAAGCCAAGGCCUCAAGCAAACUUUCCCACUUGCUGUCUUGGAACCCUUCCCAGCCACCAGGUAAAUAAGCCGAGGCUCUUGUGCUGGACGAUGAGAGGUCACUGGAACACUAAUGAGCCAUAACAGCCAAGGCCAUUCUAGAAUAGAUAGCUUUUGCCAACCAAGCAGCUGACUGCAGAUACAUGCCUGCAUCCAGAUGAGUCCAGAAAAGCAACCUAGAGAUGAGAAAACCAAGUAAUGAAAAUGCUGAGUAACUGCAUCUAUGUAUGUGAACAAGUAGCCAAACCAGGAUUUGAAAAACUUCCUAAAUUUUUCCAUUGCACUAUGUCCUCGGAGGACAUGAGAGAGAGACUUGACUGGACUAAGAAAGAAAUGAACAUGAUUUAGAGAUGGAAAUGGUGACAUAUGGGCUGUUGAAACCUCCCAUGUUCCAGAGAAGAAGAGAAGACUAGAACCACAUUCCCCAGAAUCCUUUUCCCUGUGUGGUUUCCUGUAUAGUUAGUUUCAUCACUGACAGUCACUUCUGUAAACUUCAGAAAGUAAAAGGGAAGAAAAUGAUGAUAUUCACCAGAGGCAGAUUCACCCAGACACACACUUCUCCACGUCCUUCUAAGGUUUACCAACUUAAAAAUUAAGGUGAGAAUUUGCACCUGCUACUGUAUCUAGCUUCCACACCUGGCAUAUUUACUUAAGGUAUUCCUUUUUUCAAAUCAGAGAUUUGUGUAUUUUCCACAAAUAAUUUGUGAACCUGUUAUCUGACUUAUUUUUGAUGAUAGAAAAUGAGUUACUGGACACUGCACAUAAAAUAUCUUACAGUUAAAAGGGAAACAGGUGGUAAUUUAAGGUGGCAUUUACAUGGACAAUAUGGGCAAUUAAAAGCAAAACAUUUCUGAUUUAUGACUUAACUUAAUCAUCUUGGCAAAGGGCUAAAAAAUGUAAACAACUGGAGAUUUGACAUGACCUGAGAGGUUUUCUAGACCAGAAUGCUAGGGAAUAGUUAAUACCCCAUAAACCUAUGCAAAACUACUCUCCUUUUUCUACAAAGCAUGUGUGUGUUCUAAUUAAAUAGUAUUUUUUAACUCAUGUAAACAAAGAGGAAAGGUCAGUUAAAAAAUGUUGUUCUGCAUUUUGUCAAUGACUACAAAUCCCAUACCUAAAAAUGGAGCCUGUCUAAUUCAACAUCAUUUACUUCCCAAAAGCAGUCAUCAAGGUGGGCAGGAAAACCAAAAAUAUAUAAAGUUAGAGUCUGAACUGACUGGGGUUCUAAUUCCAUAGAAUAAAUGGUAUUCUGCUUCAAAUCUACAAGGCUCAUUUUUCUCAUCUUAAAAAUGAAAAUAAAGAUUAUUAACCAAAUUAGGGUGCUCAGGAGAAAGGAAGCCCUGAGUAAAUGCUCUUUUCUUUCUAUCAAACUUUUCUAGCUGCUCUCCCACCAUGACACCCUUCCCCCACAGCUGGUUUGUCUGUUAUUCCAUCCUCUGACUUCAUCCUUCAGGUAUUUCACUAGCGUAAUCCUCAAAACAGCCCUCUGAAGUUGUUUUUUUAUCUUCAUUGUCAAGGGGUUGGGGAAUGGAGGUGUAAAGAAGCAUAUCAGUCAGGAAAACAAAUACCACUCUAGGUAUUUCAAACAGAGAGAAUUUAAACUCAAGAAAUGUCCACACAGGUAAUGGAAAAGGAGAAAUAGCUAAGGGGUAUCUGAGGGAGCCCAAGUUUUAGCAAAAGCAAAAAGCUACCCCUAACUUUCCUAGGCAUGGAGGUAAACUGAAAGGAAACCCAAAGCCAGGGUCAUCCUGUGGAUGUGACCUCAGGUAUCCAUUCAGGGAGAGCUGAGGCCACCAGAACAUGUAGCCACUGCUGAAAGUGCUGCUGAAGUUGGAACAGGAGCAAUUAAUUUACCUUCCCAGCAAGAAGAAGGCUCAGAAUUGGAAUCCACAUACUUACUAUAGCUCUUUCUUUCUGAAAUGGAUAUAAUUUUACAUGUGAGAAGGCUUACAAAUCAUAAAUCCCAAUAGAAAUUUAAAACCUUAUAAUACAGCAUUAGGAUAUGAAGAACUCUGGAACACCCUUCAAAUAAGAGAUCAUAAAGAAUUCUUGGCCCCAGAACUUGCUUGACAGUUUCCUUGAGUGAUUUCAUACAUUCUAAUGGCUUUGGGUCAAAAGCAGGGCCUCAAUAAAGGUUUAUUGAAUGAAAGGGUGUCCAGGGGAAUUUUACAUAGUUUUAAUUAUGACAUCUUUUGGCCCACUAGAUUUGAUCAUAAACUUCAAAUUCAAAACAGAAAAUCAGAAGACUAGAAGAAACAGCGUGGGAUCACAGUUUGGAUAGAUCUUUUUUGCUUUUUCAUCUUAUUUCUAUAGUUGAAUUAAACUUUCAGAAAAAAAAUACAUAAAGCAGAGGUAUUUGAAGCAAUGAAUAAUAAGAUUGGACUUCUGAAGUGUGGUUCACACCCACCUCAUUUCCUAAGCCAUAAUCCUGGUAUAAUGUGUAAAGGGAUUUGCAAUGAAAGAUAGUAAAUCCAAUGUGUAUCAAUUAUUCAUACAUUCCAAUUGGCAGUGAACCCAGCAAAUGUAUUCAAUGAGUGGUCUCUAUUCCCACAAAUGUAGAAAGUGCAUAAUGGAUGGAAAAAUAAAGAAUUUACUCUUCAA